rnacentral:rRNA from 1 species
ACGAACGCUGGCGGCGUGCCUAACACAUGCAAGUCGAACGGAAAGGCCCUGCUUUUGUGGGGUGCUCGAGUGGCGAACGGGUGAGUAACACGUGAGUAACCUGCCCUUGACUUUGGGAUAACUUCAGGAAACUGGGGCUAAUACCGGAUAGGAGCUCCUGCUGCAUGGUGGGGGUUGGAAAGUUUCGGCGGUUGGGGAUGGACUCGCGGCUUAUCAGCUUGUUGGUGGGGUAGUGGCUUACCAAGGCUUUGACGGGUAGCCGGCCUGAGAGGGUGACCGGCCACAUUGGGACUGAGAUACGGCCCAGACUCCUACGGGAGGCAGCAGUGGGGAAUAUUGCACAAUGGGCGGAAGCCUGAUGCAGCAACGCCGCGUGCGGGAUGACGGCCUUCGGGUUGUAAACCGCUUUCGCCUGUGACGAAGCGUGAGUGACGGUAAUGGGUAAAGAAGCACCGGCUAACUACGUG